AGUUGGAAUAUUUUAAAUUAUUACACUAUAAAUGCACUAGCCGCGUGGUACCUAAUAAGCCUUUACUCUUUAGUACCUAAUAGCUACAAGCUAGCAGUCAUUAGGGAGGAGCAUUCUUGCUGCUUUAAGCUGUCUGCGACAUGAGCUAUUACACCAGCACCAGCAUUGUGAAGCCAUUCAUUUUUCACAUGUAUGUUGUUAUGGGCGAAAAAAGGCCAAAAUGCUGAGUGGAAGCUGACAUCGACUUUCUUCC
rnacentral:misc_RNA from 1 species